rnacentral:rRNA from 1 species
UACGUAGGGUGCAAGCGUUGUCCGGAAUUAUUGGGCGUAAAGAGCUCGUAGGCGGUCUGUCGCGUCUGCUGUGAAAAUCCAGGGCUCAACCCUGGACCUGCAGUGGGUACGGGCAGACUAGAGUGCGGUAGGGGAGAUCGGAAUUCCUGGUGUAGCGGUGGAAUGCGCAGAUAUCAGGAGGAACACCAAUAGCGAAGGCAGCUCGCUGGGACGGUAUUGACGCUAAGGCGCGAAAGCGUGGGGAGCAAACAGG